ACGAACGCUGGCGGCGUGCUUAACACAUGCAAGUCGAACGGGAAAGGCCCUGCUUUUGUGGGGUGCUCGAGUGGCGAACGGGUGAGUAACACGUGAGUAACCUGCCCUUGACUUUGGGAUAACUUCAGGAAACUGGGGCUAAUACCGGAUAGGAGCUCCUGCUGCAUGGUGGGGGUUGGAAAGUUUCGGCGGUUGGGGAUGGACUCGCGGCUUAUCAGCUUGUUGGUGGGGUAGUGGCUUACCAAGGCUUUGACGGGUAGCCGGCCUGAGAGGGUGACCGGCCACAUUGGGACUGAGAUACGGCCCAGACUCCUACGGGAGGCAGCAGUGGGGAAUAUUGCACAAUGGGCGGAAGCCUGAUGCAGCAACGCCGCGUGCGGGAUGACGGCCUUCGGGUUGUAAACCGCUUUCGCCUGUGACGAAGCGUGAGUGACGGUAAUGGGUAAAGAAGCACCGGCUAACUACGUG
rnacentral:rRNA from 1 species